rnacentral:misc_RNA from 1 species
GAUGAAGAACGUAGCGAAAUGCGAUAAGUAAUGUGAAUUGCAGAAUUCAGUGAAUCAUCGAAUCUUUGAACGCACAUUGCGCCCGCCAGUAUUUUGGCGGGCAUGCCUGUUCGAGCGUCAUUUCAACCAUCAAGCCCCAGGCUUGUGUUGGGGACCUGCGGCUGCCGCAGGCCCUGAAAACCAGUGGCGGGCUCGCUGUCACACCGGGCGUAGUAGAUUUUAUCUCGCUCAGGGCGUGCUGCGGGUUCCGGCCGUUAAAAAGCCUUUUUUACCCAAGGUUGACCUCGGAUCAGGUAGGAAUACCCGCUGAACUUAAGCAUAUCAAUAAGCGGAGGA